GGGGCCUUAGCUCAGCUGGCAGAGCGCCUGCUUUGCAAGCAGGAUGUCAGGAGUUCGAAUCUCCUAGGCUCCACCC
rnacentral:tRNA from 1 species